UACGAAGGGGGCGAGCGUUGUUCGGAAUUACUGGGCGUAAAGGGUGCGUAGGCGGGUCUUUUAAGUCAGGGGUGAAAUCCUGGAGCUCAACUCCAGAACUGCCUUUGAUACUGAAGAUCUUGAGUUCGGGAGAGGUGAGUGGAACUGCGAGUGUAGAGGUGAAAUUCGUAGAUAUUCGCAAGAACACCAGUGGCGAAGGCGGCUCACUGGCCCGGUACUGACGCUGAGGCACGAAAGCGUGGGGAGCAAACAGGG
rnacentral:rRNA from 1 species